GGUGACUAAUUAUCUGAUGACUAAGUUGAGUUUCUUCAGAUUACACAAGUCUUGGUGAGAAUAAGACAGCUGGCUUUCUGAUUCAUAACCAUCCACUAAGCAGCUCACUAAUUCCUUCCUUUGAAGAAAUCUCUCUCAGCCACAUGAUUUAAUUUUAAUUAAUCCAGCAAGCAAGCAGCCUGCUUGUGACUAUCAUGUGAUGUUUAAAUAAUUAACUAUGAAUGCAAGCAGCUGAUUGAGAUUGAGAGACACAAGCGAGAAUCAAGAGGUCCUUUUUUUUUUUUUUAUAUGAAGGUCAUUACAUUCUUCCCCUCUCAAAAGAAUUCGUCCCCGAAUUCUCAAAAUAUAACUGUGCACACUUCACUGGACGCCUGAGAAGAACUCUGGAUAAUCAGCUCUGAACUUAUCUUCAUCCUCCCAUGUGACAAUAACUCUCUGACCCUUGCCCCAAAAUACUUGAACUUGAGAAAUCUCUCGGUUCCUCAAUCUCUUGAUACGACAUUCACCUAUCCGCAAAGGACCUUCAGGAUAGGUGAGGUUUGGUUGCAAGUUCUCUGGUUGUUGCGUCUCUACCAUAUUGGGGUCUGGUAUAUGCUUACGCAACAUCGAUACAUGAAAUACCGGAUGCAUAGGCAUAUCAGGUGGAAGUUCAGGUCGGUAGGCUACUUCUCCGACUUUAGUAACAAUUCGGUACGGACCUAUGUAACGGGUUGCUAACUUCCCAACUUUUCCGAAUCGUUCCUUUCCUUUCUGUGCAGCUACCUUUAAGAAGACUAAAUCAUUUACUGCAAAGCUGACUUCUCUUCUACCGCGAUCUGCAUACUUCUUUUGACGAUCUUGAGCCUUCUUCAUAUUUGCUUGAAUCACUCUUACUUUUUCAGCAGUCUCAUCUACAAUUUCUGGACCAAGCAUUCUUCGCUCACCAACUUCUGCCCAACACACUGGUGUUCUACAAGGUCGACCAUAUAGUGCUUCAUACGGUGACAUUCCGAUGCUCGAGUGGUAGCUAUUGUUGUAAGAAAACUCUAUCAACGGCAGAAACUUAUCCCACGGACCAUUCCAAUCAAGAAUACACAACCUUAACAGAUCUUCUAGGGUUCUGAUUGUUCUUUCGGUUUGACCAUCGGUUUCUGGAUGAAACGCAGUACUCAUGUGCAAUUCAGUUCCCAAAGCUUGUUGAAAAGCUCGCCAAAAUUUAGCAGUAAAGCGCGGGUCUCGGUCUGAUACUACAUUUGCUGGUACCCCAUGAAGCUUUACAAUUUCUUUCAAGUAUAACUCUGCUAAUGUCUCCACUUUGUCUGUGAGUUUCAUUGGUAGGAAAUGAGCAGAUUUAGUAAGACGAUCGACAAUUACCCAUAUUGCAUCAUUCCCACGGCCUGGCGCUCUAGGUAAACCAGAAAUAAAGUCCAUCGCCACAGCAUCCCAUUUCCAUUCAGGGAUUGGUAGACUUUGAAGUAAGCCACUUGGAACUUGAUGUUCGGCCUUUAUUUGUUGGCAAGCCUGACACUGAGAAACCCACGUUGCUACAUCUCUCUUCAUUCCGGGCCAGUGGUAAUACCUUCUGAUAUCUCGAUACAUCUUCGUGCUUCCGGGAUGGAUGCUCAAAAGAGAAUGGUGUGCACUUCUUAAAAUCUCUUCUCGAAGUCCUUCUGCUUUCGGAACGGUUACUCGACCAUUGAGUAACAAGGUUCCAUCACUCGCAACUUGAUAUCCACCAAAAUUGCCUUCAAUCAACUGCUCUCGGAUCUUUUUCAAGUUAACAUCUCUUAUUUGACAUUCUCGGAUACGAGCAAGUAAACCGGCUUGGCUCACUGCUUGUAAUCCGAAAGGUUCUCCUUCCUCACCUUCUAAGGUAGCCAAACUAAUCAUCUUGAAUUCUGUUUCAAGGUUCUGGAGUUCCUUUUCGAUAUCCACAUCAACUUUCCUUCUGCUCAAAGCAUCAGCAACCACAUUUGCUUUUCCUGGAUGGUAUAAAAUCUGCAUGUCGUAGUCAGCUACAAACUCCAUCCAUCGUCUUUGCCUUAGGUUCAAAUCAGGUUGAGUGAAAAGAUAUUUAAGGCUUUUAUGGUCAGUGAACACUUGGAUCUUCUCACCAUACAAAUAUGAUCGCCAAAUUCGAAGUGCAAAAACAACUGCGGCCAUCUCCAAAUCAUGUGUCGGAUAGUUUAUUUCAUGCUUCCUUAGUUGCCUUGAUGCAUAGGCGAUUACCCUAUCGUCUUGCAUCAGCACACAACCUAAACCAACAUGAGAUGCAUCUGUAUACACUGUAUACGGUUGGCCAGGCUUAGGCAAAGCUAAGAUAGGUGCAGAGGUUAAAGCUUCCUUCAACUUAUCAAACGCUUCUUUGGUUUCUGUACUCCACUCAUAGGCGACAUCUUUGCCAGUUAGAAGAGUCAACGGCUUCGAUAUGCUUGCAAACCCUUGAACAAAUUUCCGGUAAUAGCCAGCCAAUCCAAGGAAACUUCGAAUCUCGGUAACACAAGUUGGACGCGGCCAUUCUUUGAUAGCAGCUAUCUUUUCUGGAUCAACAGAAACUCCUUGUUCUGACACUCGAUGUCCUAAGAAUCCAACUUCUCUUUUCCAGAAACGACACUUACUGAGCUUUGCAAAAAGAUUUUGAUCUCGUAGACGGUCGAGAACCAUGCGUAGAUGCUCCUCGUGUUCUUCCGCACUUCGGGAAUAUAUGAGAAUGUCAUCAAUGAAUAUGAUAACAAACUCGUCCAAGUAAUCUCGAAAUACGUCAUUCAUCAAACGCAUAAAGGCAGCUGGGGCAUUGGUAAGACCAAAAGGCAUUACUACGAACUCGAAUUGUCCAUAGCGUGUCCUAAAAGCAGUCUUCAUGAUGUCGGUCUCGGAAAUCAGAAUUUGAUGAUAACCCGAAGCCAAAUCAAUCUUCGAAAACCAACUUGCACCUUGCAACUGAUCUAAAAGCUCAUCAAUUCUUGGAAGUGGAUACUUGUCUUUGAUGGUCACGUUGUUGAUUCCACGAUAAUCAAUACAUAACCGCAUACUUCCGUCUUUCUUCUUUACGAACAGCACAGGCGCUCCCCACGGUGAUGAACUAGGACGAAUGAAACCUUUCUCUAGCAAAUCAGCUAACUGUUGCUUCAACUCAGCGAGUUCAGCUGGAGCCAUUCGGUACGGUGCCUUUGCUAUUGCAGCUGAUCCGGGUUCUAAAGUUAUACUAAAAGGGUUAUUUCUGGACGGUGGUAAUCCCUCUAAUACCUUAAACACGUCUUUGUAUUCUCGGACUAUGGGGAUGUCUUCUAAGUUCUGCUCUUUCUCAUCGUCUAAUUUCCCAGCAAUUAAGGUAACUAGAUACACUUCUUCAUUCUGUUUCAGAAGGUUCUCUACUCUCAAGGCUGAAACUAGCGACACUCCAACACUCGGUACAAUGCCUUGGUAAGCUAAAGAGGGUUGGGUAUCUCUUUCAAAGAAAAUCUUCCCUCGACCACAAUCGAGAUGAGCUCGGUAACUAGACAGCCAAUCCAUUCCUAGGAUGACCUCGUACCGCUCUAAAGGAAGUAUUAACAAAUGGGUCGGAAAAAUCAUGCCUUGGAUAGUGAUCGGAACUUCUAAGAUGCAGCCUUCGGUUUCAAGAACUUGAUCACCGGGAGUUAAAACAGGAAUAUUUAAAUUCACCUUAGUGAAUUCUCCCUUGAGUCUAGACGCUACUUCGGGAGCUACAAAACUAUGUGUUGCUCCCGAAUCGAACAAGAUAUGGGCUGAAAUUCCACCCACAGCCAAAGUACCUAUAUAUAUAAUUGACUUCAAGUUAAAUUAAUAAUUCAACCAUUCACAUAGCAUUCUUUUUUUUUUUUUUUUUAAUCUACUAAUGCACCGAUCAAUUUUUUUUUUUUUUUUUUUUAAAAAGAUAUCACACAACACUCAAUAGGAUAAGAAUAUAAACCUGUGAUAGGACCCUUCGGUGGUCCCGGUGGUCCAGGUAACUCUAAGGCAUAGGCCCUACCAGAAAUGGCCUGACGCUUCGCUGGUGGUAUGGGAAAGGGUAAAGGGGAACGAGAUGAUCCAGCCUGUGGAGCUCGUGGUGCAUCUGAAGAUGUAGGGUGGGUACGAGGACAAGAUGUUGCGUAAUGUCCUCGCUCUCCACACGUGAAGCAAGUAACACUGGGUGGUACCGCCGGCCUGUAUUGUCCUCCAUUCGGACAAUCUCUAGCUAUAUGGCCCCUCUGGCCACAACCAAAGCAAGUCUGAGUUCUCUGACGAUGUCCUCCUGAACGUCCUCCACGAACUGCUCUGCCUCUAUGACCUCGAUCCAUCAUGGACGGAGACGGUUGCUGACUCUGGGUAGCCUGGCGUCGUAUUUCUGCGGAAUGACUCGACGAUGCGCGUUCCGCGAUGAUAGCUUCUUCUACAUUCACUGCUCGCUCCACCAAGUCAGAAAGUCUACCAAACUCAACAGCUUCAAGACGGCUCCUAAUGUAUGGACUAAGUCCUCGAAGGAACUUCCUGAUAAUCAUAGGCUCGUCUUCCUGACCGUAGUGAACGUAACGCCUGAGGCGGGUGAACUCUGAUUCGUACCUCCUAACAGAAUUAUCUCCCUGUACCAACGCCAUGAACUGAGCCUCAAGACGAUCUCUAGCCUCUGGUGGAAAAUACUUCCGCUGAAAUGCUUGACGAAAGUCUGACCAAGUAGUUGUCACAUUACCAAGGUAGCGGUCUACACACAACCACCAGCUCAAUGCAUCCUUCUCCAAGUAGUACACAGCCACAUCUUUCUUGAACUCAUCCUGACAGCGAGUCGCCCGAAAGUUUCCCUCAAGGUUCUGUAACCAUGCAUCAGCCUCGAACGGAUCAGUCCCUCCUCGGUAGUGUCUAGUACCCAAGUUCUUCAUGAGCAUAACAAUCUUCAAAAAGUCAGGAUGUGACGUGGUAGGUACCGGAGCUGGCUGCGCACGCUGUGCAUUAAGAGUUUGAUGUUGUAAGUUUACCAUCUCCGCCAUCAAUUCUAGAAGUGCCACUAUCGCUGGAUCAGUUGGCGCUGGCGCUGGCGCAGGUUGUGCUGCUGGUGGUGCUUCAGCAUGAACAUGUGGAACAUCUUCUGCGGCAGCUGCAUGGGCGGCAGGAUGUUCGGCAGGAUGAUCAUGAACAACAUCGACCUCUAUAUCUGUGUAAUACGGAUCUGGUGACAUAGGCAUCGGCGUUUGAAGUGGAAUAUACUCAUGUGAAUCCUCAGAUGGAUCAGACUCAAAGCUAGAGCCCGAAGGUGUAACCUCAAAGCUAGGGGUCGGAAGUGGUGCCGGAGUAGAUGGCGGUGAAGAGUCUGGAGAUGAGGAAAUAGAUAUCGGUAGAUAAGCUCCACCACGUCUGGCCUGUCUCGGUGGCAUCUGCAAGGAAAGAUCAUGGUAAGUUUCUACCCAGUUCUAUCUAUUUCAAAAAGAAGGAACAAACCAGCAUAUACUAAUUAUCCUUGCGACACAUUUUGACACGAAAAUAUAUUUGAAACAAGUCCCAUUCAAGCAUCAUAUAACAAUGCUCUGAUACCACCUUUGUGGCACCCCCGAUCAUAGAUGACCGGAAAUGACACCGUCGUUGUUCCCCGAAGGUCGAUCCGAGGUUCCCAGAAUAAUUCCGAUCACCUUAGAUCAACAAACUGAGAACACCGACGCUCCUAUCGGAUAUCACUCUAGGCUUUUCAACCCGACAAGCAAUACUCGAUAGUUGGUUUGUCCCGGACAAGGACUAAUAUCAUGUGAGAACUAGUAGUUUAUAAAACAUUCUUUAUACCUUAUUUAUUUACUUUAAACAUUUUACAAACCGUUAUAGUUUUAUCCUACGGCCUAUCGCCCAACAACGUUUUACAGUAAAUAUACAUCAAAAGGUUCGUUGCAAGGACAACAAAAACUACCGCUGAUUACGCCGUUCCUUCUAGUCCAAAAGAGAAAAGUAUCUCCCGCCUAAUGGUUACCUGCACACACGAAUGAGUCGUGAGUAACAAAUACUCAGUGAAUCUAGAAUCACAACACAACAAAUCAACACAAGCAAUCACAAUAAUGCAUUAGUAUGAUCAUUCAAGUAUUAGUACAUAAUCACUAUGAAUCUCUUCCUAUACAUCGCUCCAUAUCACCCGCCCUUAACUCAUAAUUAUAUAUAUAUAUUUAUAGGCAUAUGCUAAACCCGAAACCACAAAAGGCUAAGAGCUUAGCGGGUAAUAAAAAUAAUUAAAAUUCAUCUCCUUCGGAUAAUCACUUGAUGAACACCCGACACUGGAUCGUCACCCAGUACACGGCCCUAGUCUGCAAUACCGUAACUCCGUGUCUUCGUACAACUUGAAACGUUACGUGAACCACGUACGAACAAGUGACGGCUCUUCGUAUAAUACGGGGAUAUUUAAGUAAUGUGUAUUGACUAAGACUUCAUAUGAUUAUUACUUCCAUGAAUUAUUAACUAUAUGAAUGCAUAUAUAAUUAAUACUUGGGAACAAGUACUAAGUUAUAGAUAAACCUCCAUGAACACUUAAGAAAAUUUCCUAAGAGUUAACAUAAGUUGAACACUUCAAGAAUAAUUAGACAACACUUAAUCAUUCGUGACUAUUCACUGCAACUAAAUCAUGCUACACUCAUACAUGAUUUAUUCAUCCAACUGCCUAGACUCACCUUGAUUCAAGUCUUGAAACCAAAUUUAAGAAGGCCUGAAACUGAUCUCAAAUGAGCUGAAACGAUCCUGAGAAUGGACAAGGUUCAUGACGGUUAAUAAGGUUCUCUGAUCACCACAUCCAAACCAAUUUACUACAGCUUACCAAAACAACUAGAAGGGUUGAUCUUGGCUGAACACUCCUCUCAAGCUAAGCUCACAAUAUGACUAUCAUCAAAAUAGAAACAAAACUUGGUUCAGAACAGAGCAAGGCUGGUGAUUUGAUCUGAUCAGUUUAAUUACCUUUCUUCUUCCACACAUCAACAACAACACAGCCUGGUUGAAGAAACAACACCCAAAACUCUCUUGAUUUUUCUCCACUGAUUUUCUCUUCUUUCUCUCUUGAAUUCUCUAAAAAUGCUCUCUAUUUUUUUUCUUUUGUUUCUCACGACAGGAGAGAAGAAAGUGGUGACUAAUUAUCUGAUGACUAAGUUGAGUUUCUUCAGAUUACACAAGUCUUGGUGAGAAUAAGACAGCUGGCUUUCUGAUUCAUAACCAUCCACUAAGCAGCUCACUAAUUCCUUCCUUUGAAGAAAUCUCUCUCAGCCACAUGAUUUAAUUUUAAUUAAUCCAGCAAGCAAGCAGCCUGCUUGUGACUAUCAUGUGAUGUUUAAAUAAUUAACUAUGAAUGCAAGCAGCUGAUUGAGAUUGAGAGACACAAGCGAGAAUCAAGAGGUCCUUUUUUUUUUUUUUUUAUAUGAAGGUCAUUACAUUCUUCCCCUCUCAAAAGAAUUCGUCCCCGAAUUCUCAAAAUAUAACUGUGCACACUUCACUGGACGCCUGAGAAGAACUCUGGAUAAUCAGCUCUGAACUUAUCUUCAUCCUCCCAUGUGACAAUAACUCUCUGACCCUUGCCCCAAAAUACUUGAACUUGAGAAAUCUCUCGGUUCCUCAAUCUCUUGAUACGACAUUCACCUAUCCGCAAAGGACCUUCAGGAUAGGUGAGGUUUGGUUGCAAGUUCUCUGGUUGUUGC
rnacentral:lncRNA from 1 species